rnacentral:rRNA from 1 species
GAGUACCACGGGACACGUGAAACCCUGUGGGAAGCAGGAGGGACCACCCUCCAAGGCUAAAUACUACCUAGUGACCGAUAGCGUAUAGUACCGUGAGGGAAAGGUGAAAAGAACCCCGGGAGGGGAGUGAAAUAGAACCUGAAACCCUGCACUUACAAGCUGUGGAAGCACAUUUCUUGUGUGACCGCGUACUUUUUGUAGAACGGGCCAACGAGUUACGUUAAGUAGCAAGGUUAAGCACUUAAGGUGUGGAGCCGUAGCGAAAGCGAGUUUUAACUGAGCGUUCAGUUACUUGACGUAGACCCGAAACCGGGCGACCUACCCAUGAGCAGGAUGAAGCGAAAGUAAAAUUUCGUGGAGGUCCGAACCCACGAGCGUUGAAAAGCUCGGGGAUGACUUGUGGGUAGCGGUGAAAUUCCAAUCGAGCCCGGAGAUAGCUGGUUCUCCCCGAAAUAGCUUUAGGGCUAGCCUCAAGGUGAGAGAUACGGAGGUAGAGCACUGAAUGUCCUAGGGGGUAUUGCACCUACCGAAGACUAUCAAACUCCGAAUGCCGUCAUCUUAUACUUGGGAGUCAGACUGUGGGUGAUAAGAUUCAUAGUCGAAAGGGCAACAGCCCAGAUCGUCAGCUAAGGUCCCUAAAUGUAAGUUAAGUGGUAAAGGAUGUGGGAUUGCACAGACAACCAGGAUGUUGGCUUAGAAGCAGCCACUCAUUCAAAGAGUGCGUAAUAGCUCACUGGUCGAGUGAUCCUGCGCCGAAGAUUUCCGGGGCUAAAACUUACUACCGAAGCUACGGCAUCAGUAAUGAUGGGUAGGGGAGCUUCCCAUACGGGUUGAAGCAUGACCGUAAGGACAUGUGGACAGUAUGGGAGUGAGAAUGUUGGCAUGAGUAGCGAGAUGUGGGUGAGAAUCCCACAGGCCGUAAACCCAAGGUUUCCAGGGGAAGGUUCGUCCGCCCUGGGUUAGUCGGGACCUAAGCUGAGGCCGAAAGGCGUAGGUGAUGGACAACAGGUUGAUAUUCCUGUACUACCGAUAACCGUUUGAGAGAAGGGAUGACACAGUAGGAUAAGCUAAGCACACUGUUGGUUAUGUGUGCCCAAGCAUUGAGGCAGUCAAAGUAGGCAAAUCCGCUUUGAUAAUGCUGGGAUGUGAUGGGGAGCGAAAUUUAGUAGCGAAGUAGCUGAUUUCACACUGUCAAGAAAAGUCUCUAUCGAGGUUAAAGGUACCCGUACCGCAAACCGACACAGGUGGGUGAGGAGAGUAUCCUAAGGCCAGCGAGAGAACUGUUGUUAAGGAACUCGGCAAAAUGACCCCGUAACUUAGGGAUAAGGGGUGCCACCAUCAGGUGGCCGCAGAGAAUAGGCCCAAGCGACUGUUUACCAAAAACAUAGGUUUCUGCUAAGUCGCAAGACGAUGUAUAGGAGCUGACGCCUGCCCGGUGCUGGAAGGUUAAGGGGAUCUGUUAGAGCAAUCGAAGCAGUGAACUUAAGCCCCAGUAAACGGCGGCCGUAACUAUAACGGUCCUAAGGUAGCGAAAUUCCUUGUCGGGUAAGUUCCGACCCGCACGAAAGGCGUAACGAUUUGGGCACUGUCUCAACAACAGACUCGGUGAAAUUGUAAUUCCGGUGAAGAUGCCGGAUACCUGCGACAGGACGGAAAGACCCCAUGGAGCUU